rnacentral:rRNA from 1 species
UACGUAGGGGGCAAGCGUUGUCCGGAAUCAUUGGGCGUAAAGCGCGUGUAGGCGGUUCGGUAAGUCUGAUGUGAAAGCCCACGGCUCAACCGUGGAAGGUCAUUGGAAACUGAAAGGCUUGAGUACAGAAGAGGAAAGCGGAAUUCCACGUGUAGCGGUGAAAUGCGUAGAGAUGUGGAGGAACACCAGUGGCGAAGGCGGCUUCUGGUCUGUAACUGACGCUGAGGCGCGAAAGCGUGGGGAGCAAACAGG